GCGCCCGUAGCUCAAUUGGAUAGAGCGCCUCACUACGGAUGAGGAGGUUGCAGGUUCAACUCCUACCGGGCGCACCA
rnacentral:tRNA from 1 species